AAAAAGACAAACCCUGGGUUUCCGUGUCCAACGUUUAACUGUCCGUCUUAUAUAAAUUUUUUUUAUAAUUAAUAUUUUCAUUGUUGUUAUAUGAUAAAACAUGAUUAAUAUUUUAUGCAUGACUUGUCUUUUUAAUUUUUUUUAUAAUUUUUUUUAGAUAAGACGGACGAUCAAACGUUAAACACGAAAAUCUAGAGUUUUUCUUCUU
rfam:Oryza glumipatula chromosome 10, whole genome shotgun sequence.